GGUGCCGAGCUCGAGAUUGUUAUUGUUUACAUUUCUAUUGAAAACACCAUCCAUAAAAUGACAAAAAGGAAUUAUUAAAAUAAUCAUUUUUCAAUCAGCAUUUUCUUUACCAGUUAAACAACUAUUUGUUGACUAAAUGAUUGGAAGUAGCCACGAGAAAUGCUUGAGUAACACCUGGAUGAUCAAGGUCAUGAGCAACUGCUGCUAGAACAGAUGACAUCGUCUCUAAUGGAGUUAAAUGAGCAGAAAACUAAAAGAGAUUUUUAGAAUAGCAUCACUCUUUUUCAGAAGAAGCUUUUUCAACAAUAGAUAACAAAAUUAUUUUACUUUAUGUUCCCGAAGAAAACAAUGCAUGGCUUGAGUGACAUCAGCUGCAUGAACUGAAUUAUGAUAAGGAUUAUGUCGAUGAUAAGCUGCUUCCAUCAAAUCUAAAGAAAAAGCAAUGCAUAUUUGAGUUGUUAAAUAGUCAAACGUAUUAUAUAAAUAUACAAGUAAAAUUAAUUUUAAUUUUUUAGCCUUUAAUUGAGAUACUACAAUCUGUGUGGUUCAACAAAUUGAUGUGAUCAUUAUUUAUUGAGAGCCACAAAUUAAGAAUAUUGUUAUGAAAGAAACUUAAUUUGAUACAUAAAUUUCACAAAAGCCCA